GAGGGUGUAGCUCAGUAGUAGGGCAAGUGCUCAGCAUGCACGAGCUCCUGGGUUCAAUCCCCAGUACCACCA
rnacentral:tRNA from 1 species